UACGUAGGGUGCAAGCGUUGUCCGGAAUUAUUGGGCGUAAAGAGCUCGUAGGCGGUUUGUUGCGUCGGCUGUGAAAUCCCGAGGCUCAACCUCGGGUCUGCAGUCGAUACGAGCAAACUAGAGUGUUGCAGGGGGGACUGGAAUUCCUGGUGUAGCGGUGAAAUGCGCAGAUAUCAGGAGGAACACCGGUGGCGAAGGCGGCGUUCUGGACUGCAACUGACACUGAGGAACGAAAGCCAGGGGAGCAAACGGG
rnacentral:rRNA from 1 species